UACGUAGGGUGCGAGCGUUAAUCGGAAUUACUGGGCGUAAAGCGUGCGCAGGCGGUUCGUUAAGUCUGCUGUGAAAGCCCCGGGCUCAACCUGGGAAUGGCAGUGGAAACUGGCGAGCUUGAGUGUGGCAGAGGGGGGUGGAAUUCCACGUGUAGCAGUGAAAUGCGUAGAGAUGUGGAGGAACACCGAUGGCGAAGGCAGCCCCCUGGGCUGACACUGACACUCAGGCACGAAAGCGUGGGGAGCAAACAGG
rnacentral:rRNA from 1 species